GAUGUACGCUGGCGGCGUGCCUAAUACAUGCAAGUCGAGCGAACAGACGAGGAGCUUGCUCCUCUGACGUUAGCGGCGGACGGGUGAGUAACACGUGGAUAACCUACCUAUAAGACUGGGAUAACUUCGGGAAACCGGAGCUAAUACCGGAUAAUAUAUAGAACCGCAUGGUUCAAUAGUGAAAGACGGUUUUGCUGUCACUUAUAGAUGGAUCCGCGCCGCAUUAGCUAGUUGGUAAGGUAACGGCUUACCAAGGCAACGAUGCGUAGCCGACCUGAGAGGGUGAUCGGCCACACUGGAACUGAGACACGGUCCAGACUCCUACGGGAGGCAGCAGUAGGGAAUCUUCCGCAAUGGGCGAAAGCCUGACGGAGCAACGCCGCGUGAGUGAUGAAGGUCUUCGGAUCGUAAAACUCUGUUAUUAGGGAAGAACAAAUGUGUAAGUAACUAUGCACGUCUUGACGGUACCUAAUCAGAAAGCCACGGCUAACUACGUG
rnacentral:rRNA from 1 species